rnacentral:rRNA from 1 species
UACGUAGGGGGCUAGCGUUGUCCGGAAUCAUUGGGCGUAAAGAGCGUGUAGGCGGUCCGGUAAGUCCGCUGUGAAAGUCGGGGGCUCAACCCUCGAAUGCCGGUGGAUACUGUCGGGCUAGAGUGCGGAAGAGGCGAGUGGAAUUCCUGGUGUAGCGGUGAAAUGCGCAGAUAUCAGGAGGAACACCCGUGGCGAAGGCGGCUCUCUGGGACGGUACUGACGCUGAGACGCGAAAGCGUGGGGAGCGAACAGG